CCAUAGCCCUGAUAGCAGCGGCAUCCUUUUUAGGCAAACGAAAAGAUCUAAUCCUAACGAAAAUGUUCUGCCUAAAAAGAUAUAGCGGAUAGACAGUCCCGAUA
rnacentral:sRNA from 1 species